rnacentral:rRNA from 1 species
UGGGGAAUCUUGCGCAAUGGGCGAAAGCCUGACGCAGCAACGCCGCGUGAGGGAUGAAGGCUUUCGGGUUGUAAACCUCUUUCAGCAGGAACGAAAAUGACGGUACCUGCAGAAGAAGCUCCGGCCAACUACGUGCCAGCAGCCGCGGUAAUACGUAGGGAGCAAGCGUUGUCCGGAUUUAUUGGGCGUAAAGAGCUCGUAGGCGGUUAAGAAAGUCAGAUGUGAAACCUCCAGGCUCAACCUGGAGCCGCCAUUUGAUACUUCUUUGACUUGAGUUCGGUAGGGGACCACGGAAGUCCUGGUGUAGCGGUGGAAUGCGCAGAUAUCAGGAGGAACACCGAUGGCGAAGGCAGUGGUCUGGGCCGAUACUGACGCUGAGGAGCGAAAGCGUGGGGAGCGAACA